GUCACCAUGUGAGACAUGGCUUUCACCUUCCAUCAUGAUUGUGAGGCCUCCCCAGCCACAUAGAAUUGUGUCAUGAGAGCCACCCUUCCCAAAGUAGCACUUGUGAGCAGAGGUGAUCAGAGGGCUUUCUGAAGAGUGAGGAGAGGGCCAAAAAGAAGAAAAGGGAGUGAGACAGUCGUUAAGACUCCUAAUCCCGGCUUAUUUUUACUGCUUCUCAACACAGCAUUGCAAGUGGCUGAUUUGAUGGAUGUGGCACGUGACCAAGUUCUGGCUAAUGAGAUGUCUGAAACUUAAAGUGGAAGAGAUGUAUCAUCUCCUUUUCCUUGCUCCAUCCUGCUACCUGAAAAAUGGAUGUGGUGACAAGCCCUGGAAAACCACAAGGAUGAGAACAGCACUGGAGAGAUGGUGCAGCGCAUGAUGCAAUUGCCUAGGUAUCUGAUGGCUGAGUAGAAUUUCUCUCCUCCGACUUUUACAUGGGAAGGAAAUAAAACUCUAUUUUGUUUGAAACUCUGUUAUUUUAGGUCAAUGUUUUAAGUAGCUGUAGCCAUGUACUAAUUCUUUCCACGAACAGCCAGGUUUCGCAUGAUAGCCUUCAGACAUCUGAGAGUCACGGCAUACACAGUUCUGAUAACCUCAUGUUGUUAUUGCUCUCAGGAACUGACUUGCACUUUGGCUAAACCAUCUGGACCUUCAAGCUGAAAACUGAAGUCAUUGCUUCAAUGUUACCCAAUGGAUUCUAUUACUGGGGUACACAAAGAAAAAGGAGAUGUAAAUGGGCCUGAGGGAGAGUCUGAGUGCUGGACCUGAGUCAGUUCAGAGACAUGAUCACAGAAUCACAUGAGACAUUUUGCCAAGUUUUACCAGGGACAAAAGCCAAGGUCUCUUGAAUCUCAGCCUAGUGCAGGCAUCUUUCUCCUGAUGUUUCAUCCUUCUUAAAGAACUAUCAGAAACCAAAUCUUUAGUAUAGGUACCUAAGAUAUUUUUCUAGCUUUUCCCUUUUGUUAUUUUCUAUUUAGCUGUGUUUCUCCUUGUCCGUUCUUUAUUUACUAAACUUUCUAUUGAAUAUCUUUUCUACUUAAAACUAGUCCCAUGAUUCAAAAGCGGCCCUUGUCUGGCCUACAUGGUGAAACCCCGUCUCUACUAAAAAUACAAAAAUUAGCUGGGAGUGGUGAUAGGCACCUGCAAUCCCAGCUACUUAGGAGGCCGAGGCAGGAGAAUUGCUUGAACCCAGGAGGCAGAGGUCGCAGUGAGCCAAGAUCAUGCCACCGCACUCCAGCCUGGGUG
rnacentral:lncRNA from 1 species